rnacentral:rRNA from 1 species
AGAGUUUGAUCCUGGCUCAGGAUGAACGCUGGCGGCGUGCCUAACACAUGCAAGUCGAGCGAAGCGGUUUUAAGGAAGUUUUCGGAUGGAAUUAAAACUGACUGAGCGGCGGACGGGUGAGUAACGCGUGGGUAACCUGCCUCAUACAGGGGGAUAACAGUUAGAAAUGGCUGCUAAUACCGCAUAAGCACACAGCUUCGCAUGGAGCAGUGUGAAAAACUCCGGUGGUAUGAGAUGGACCCGCGUCUGAUUAGCUAGUUGGUAAGGUAACGGCUUACCAAGGCGACGAUCAGUAGCCGACCUGAGAGGGUGACCGGCCACAUUGGGACUGAGACACGGCCCAAACUCCUACGGGAGGCAGCAGUGGGGAAUAUUGCACAAUGGGGGAAACCCUGAUGCAGCGACGCCGCGUGGAGGAAGAAGGUCUUCGGAUUGUAAACUCCUGUUGUUGGGGAAGAUAAUGACGGUACCCAACAAGGAAGUGACGGCUAACUACGUGCCAGCAGCCGCGGUAAAACGUAGGUCACAAGCGUUGUCCGGAAUUACUGGGUGUAAAGGGAGCGCAGGCGGGAAGACAAGUUGGAAGUGAAAUCUAUGGGCUCAACCCAUAAACUGCUUUCAAAACUGUUUUUCUUGAGUAGUGCAGAGGUAGGCGGAAUUCCCGGUGUAGCGGUGGAAUGCGUAGAUAUCGGGAGGAACACCAGUGGCGAAGGCGGCCUACUGGGCACCAACUGACGCUGAGGCUCGAAAGUGUGGGUAGCAAACAGGAUUAGAUACCCUGGUAGUCCACACCGUAAACGAUGAUUACUAGGUGUUGGAGGAUUGACCCCUUCAGUGCCGCAGUUAACACAAUAAGUAAUCCACCUGGGGAGUACGACCGCAAGGUUGAAACUCAAAGGAAUUGACGGGGGCCCGCACAAGCAGUGGAGCAUGUGGUUUAAUUCGAUGCAACGCGAAGAACCUUACCUGGUCUUGACAUCCACAGAACUUUCCAGAGAUGGAUUGGUGCCUUCGGGAACUGUGAGACAGGUGCUGCAUGGCUGUCGUCAGCUCGUGUUGUGAAAUGUUGGGUUAAGUCCCGCAACGAGCGCAACCCUUAUCCUUUGUUGCCAGCGGUCCGGCCGGGAACUCAAAGGAGACUGCCAGUGAUAAACUGGAGGAAGGUGGGGAUGACGUCAAGUCAUCAUGGCCCUUACGACCAGGGCUACACACGUGCUACAAUGGCGCAUACAAAGAGAAGCGACCUCGCGAGAGCAAGCGGACCUCAUAAAGUGCGUCGUAGUCCGGAUUGGAGUCUGCAACUCGACUCCAUGAAGUCGGAAUCGCUAGUAAUCGUGGAUCAGAAUGCCACGGUGAAUACGUUCCCGGGCCUUGUACACACCGCCCGUCACACCAUGGGAGUGGGUUGCAAAAGAAGUAGGUAGCUUAACCUUCGGGAGGGCGCUUACCACUUUGUGAUUCAUGACUGGGGUGAAGUCGUAACAAGGUAACCGUAGGGGAACCUGCGGUUG